rnacentral:rRNA from 1 species
AGUCGUGUUGCUUGAUAGUGCAGCACUAAGUGGGUGGUAAACUCCAUCUAAAACUAAAUAUAACCAUGAGACCGAUAGUAAACAAGUACCGUGAGGGAAAGUUGAAAAGAACUCUGAAUAGAGAGUUAAAUAGUACGUGAAACUGCUUAGAGGUUAAGCCCGAUGAACCUGAAUAUCCGUUAUGGAAAAUUCAUCAUUAUGAUUUUAAUAUUUAUAAUAUUAUGAUUAUGGUGUGCAUUUUUUCUAUAAAGGACAUUGUAAUCUAUUAACAUAGAUAUAUUUAUCAUAAGAUCGUUGGAGUAAGUUUAUUCAAAUUAUUUUGCUUGCAAUUUAAUAUCGAAUAAAUGCUUUUGAUUUGAUAAAGUGUUGAUAGAUUUAUUAUAUAUAGUGCUUGAAUAUUUAUAUUUUAUAAUAGCAUAUUAAUCAUUGAUUUUUAUGUUUAUUAUAUGCACUUAUAUGAUUAACAAUGCGAAAGAUUCAGGAUACCUUCGGGACCCGUCUUGAAACACGGACCAAGGAGUCUAACAUAUUUGCAAGUUAUUGGGAAUAAAAACCUAAUAGCGAAAUUAACAUAACUUAAUAAUGGGAUUAGUUUUUAGCCUAUUUAUAGUCUAUUAAUUCA